GCCCAUGGCACACGGAAGACAAAUACACGCUCAGCCUCUAACAAACGCUCCAAAAUAUGUAUGUACUGAGGGUUCUUCAUCAAUACAGGUUCUAGAGAAUGAACCACUUCUUGCACAGAUUGUAUAAACUCAACUUCAUGGGGAUCCCUUCUUAUGACAGAUUCGACAAUAGAACCAGCAGUUUUUGACAUCAAAGUUGCAUACACAGGCCUGGUA
rnacentral:misc_RNA from 1 species